AUGCCAUGAUGUGGACAUUUUCUUAACAUUUCUUUUAAUCUUUCCCAUGCCUGAUAAACUAAUUCAGUUUCAAUCUGCAAGAAAUUAGAAAUUUCUUGUCUUAACUU
rnacentral:snoRNA from 1 species